GGCAGGCCAGAGUCUGGGGAAAGGCGGAGCCGCUGAGCUAGGAUGUGGCGUGGCCCGGCACGGUGGAGGAACCACUUCUGACUUUUCGACGAAUGGGCCUGUGAGCAUGUGUCCUAACAGUGUCUGGGGCUGGGGGAGACCAGCUGACCUCAGCCGGCUUUCCUGGGCCACCUGCCUUUACGGCGAGAGAGCUUUUUACACGAAUCAGAUUGAAGGUUGGGUGGGUAGUAUAAUGUAAAGCCGGACACCAGUUGUGCUCGUUCUGUUUUGGUCUUUGCAAAGGUAUCCGGAGCAUCUGAACCAAAGACCAGAUUGGCUGUCGUUCUGUUCAUGAACGCUGUGGGAGUCUGUCUCUGCUGAAAGCAGGCCGGCAGGAGUGUUUGUAGAUUCCCUGGCUGAGUCAGUUCCAUGCCACUUGGAAGCCCGGCCCACGGGCACCUCCGUCUGCCUGCACUGCCUUUGAUCAGACUCUGCAGGUCCUGAUGUCGCGCUAGGCUAGAACUGGACAAGAUCUCGUUCUAGAGCAGAGACGGCCAACCCACAGGCACCCAGUAACUUGGCCGACUCAAAGCUAAUAAGCAGCCGAGACAGAAUGAGGACUCCCCGUUCCUGGUUUUUCUUUUUCUUUUUGUGCAAAGACCUAUGCGUUGAGCUGGGAAAUUAGCACAGUAUUUAUUGGCUCGUGUGGUCCAGGAAGAAGCCUGGAGCUCAUUGUGGGCAGGAUUAAAGACAUAAGCAAAGCGAACCUUGCCCCCAACUCAAAUGUUGCCUUUAAGAGUAUUGAAAAGGAUAGUUUGGGAGAGGGCAUAGUUUUCUCCAUGAUAUUAACCUAAAAGCCCAGUAGACCACAUUUAUAAUUAUAUCCAAACCGCUUAUCACAAGGGUAAUAAACCUUUUGGAAUUUUGCUACCAUCGUAUAAGGUGUGGGUGUGUGCGGUUUGGGAUAAUUAACAGUAAGAGGCAGUAACAGGGAAGCAUAGUAGUAGUAGUACUGAGAUCUGGGAUUUUAACCCAAAGACACACGCUAAAACUGCGCAGAAGAGAAGACACAGUCUCGGGCAGGGCGGUGGGAUUCUUCCAACCCUGUCGGUGACAGGUACGUAGUAAAACCCUUUCUGUCUAUAAUCUCUCACGGGAGGUUUAAAGCAUGAGAGCCAUCCUUCUUCUGAGUUAAGACGUUCCAUUUUAAAGAGAGUAAUGCUUUUCACAUAAAGACUGGUAAGAACAAGGAUGCCUUAGAUGUGGGCGGGAGGGGGUUUCAGGCUCUGGCCCUCUUCGUUUCCUGAUGCCCAUCUAUGGUGGGUAUCCCCAUUCGAGAAGGGGUUUCAGAGAAGUACUUUCACUAUUACUGCAAUUAUGGGAAGUAAAAAUUCAUUUUAAUAUAGAAUACAAUUUGAAGCAAUAGGUCAUAUUUAAAUAAGGGAUUUUAAAGAAAUAUGCCAGUGGUUACAGAUUUUAGCUACCGGGGCGAAGGGCAAAAUUUUAAUGCCUCGUGUACAACAGAAAAGGGAAAUGUAGUUCGAAUUAGGAAAUCAUGUAAUUUGGGAGGUAUAAACAGACUGAUGGUUCCAAUAAGAAAAUCAAGAAACUAAAAGCAAUCUCAGUCACAUGCCAACUUUAAGCUUUACUUAAAGUAAAAUUAGAGUAUGAAGACUAUUUGACAAUACAUGAGCAUAAAUUCUGCCCUCCCGGAAAUAACCAAAAAAGGAAAGCAUAUGUAAAUGCCCUUAACAAAAAGUUAUGUCUGUGAAAUACACAUGUAGCCAUUGUUCAAGGGCAAUGUGUAUUUUAUAUUGACCUCUGCGGUCAGUUUUAAUCAAAGGCUACACAGAUAUUUUGAUGUGAUCAGUUUCAAUUAAACCCACAAUUUUGAUGUGAAAUUGAAAAGCUGGUAAACUGGAAGCCACAGCACAUGUGCAGAGACUCCCAGGAGACCUCAUUUUGUUAAAAAAAAAUCCGGGAUCACUGCGAACGUUGAGAUCUGAAAGGAAAAAGGAGGUAAUUUUAUCCUUCCCUUGCAGGAUCCUGUACCGGGGUCCUAAAUCCUGGAUCAUACCCAGAGUAUUGGCCCCAGAAGGAGCCUUAGCAGUGAUGGCCCAAGCCUCUACUGUGCAGGCGACGAGUGUGAGGCCAGAAAGGGAAACUAAGAGCACAUACCGAAGCUUUACUUGGCCAAUCUGAUACAUCCUGAACCAGCGCGGAAGCUACUCUUUCUGAUGGAAUCAGCCACCCAGGGACAUUUCCAAAGCCAAACCACCCGCCAGGGCUAACACACAAACAAGACGAGCCCAACACAGGCAGCGAGGGGCCUGGCCCGGCUUGCACCCAGUGAUGUCAAGCAAUAGCCUCUCGUGCCCAAAUUAAGAAUCCCAAACAGGUGAGGGGUUCUGGCCACUGAGCAGACCUGUCAGCUCGUCCUGAGCCUCACGGCCGACAGGUCCAACCCUAUCAUGACCUCCCCGGAGCCAGCCUCACCUGGUCCUUGGUGCUCAGUUCCUGGGCAUCUGAUGUCCAGUGCCACCAAGCUCCAAGCGGAACAGAGCACACGACACCUGCAUGUUUAGAAUGACCUGGCAUAUGACCCUCAAAAAAAGCAGGGAGGCCACAAAAGGAGCUACUCUGACCUGGGUUUGCACAGAGAAAACCCUCAGUAUAAAAAGACUGCACUGAGCUGCCCUAACUCACUUCUCAGCAUUCACGUUAAAAAAGGCUUUAGAUUGUAUGUUUUCUAUAAGUCACCCAACACGGAGAAAGUCACGGCAGGUCUUUUCAUGGUCCUCGAGAUGUCAGCUGAGCAACUUGCAAUAAAAAAGAAACCUGCGUUGGGGAACUCUUUUUUGGACGGCAGAGUCAAAUGUGUGCCCCUCCUUACUCUAAAAAGCAGGAAGGAGAAGUGUCUUCUCCUUUCUGGUUUGACCACCUUUCCUGUCUCUGUGGGUCAGCACAGAGCCAGGAAGCUGCAAGCAUCAGGGUUUGCCUUACAAGUUUAAGUGCGUGUGUUAGGCCUCGAAUUAAGCAGCCCGAGUGAAGGAACCGUGUGAGGGAUGGUGUGCUUCCAGACAGCAGUUUUUGGACACAUCUUGCACAAUCUCUGUCGUCGUGGUCUGGGUUUGGGGCAUCACCCCGUGUUCUCUGAGAUGGAAAUGGCCCAUUUAUGGCCGUGAAUGUUCAUCACCGACAAAAUCUCUAAAGUUCUAAAUGACGCGUUCUAGGUGCUUAACGAAGGGUCUCUAGCUGAUCUUUCCCCGACUUAGAAGAGGUGGCUUUUUCAAUUUGAUUUUUAAGCUCCAGGCCCACAAGCAUGAAAUAGUCACACGUGUUAAAAAAUACUGCUGUUUAAUUUUCUAGUCACGUACUUUUAAAAAGCUGAUACAAUUAGACGUUUCCCCCGUCUUCUCAGAUCUGCCCCUGAAACCACCCAAAGGCUGUGCAUCUUAAUUUCCAGCGCUCAUAUAUAUGGAGGAAAAGUCGCUCGGGGGAAGCACAUGAAGAUUUGUCCCCAUGGUGGGCACACCCAAGGGUCACUUGUCCAGAAACGUGAAUGCAACCCUGCGAUGGUCAUGGCUGACUUGCCCUUACAUUCUUUUUUCUUUUUCUUUUUUUUUUUUUUAAUGAGGAACAAUAUGAUUACACAGCACUGAAAACAAUAAACACAAAAGGCUCGCCUUUUUCCUUUUUUGCCCUUCCGGCAAAGUAUUCCAUUCCCACUAUUGUCUAUGCCAGCUGAUCCCAGUUACACCCGUCACCCACCCAGAAUUAAAAAUAGUUCUCUUGUCAUCUACUGAUCCUCACAUUUAUAUACAAGUGACUCUGUAAAACUGUAAGAAGAUACAAUACAAUACGUUUCAACUGCAGGUACGUG